CUAGUGAAACUGACAGCUUUCCUAGAAAGCCGAUUAACCAAUCUUCUGUAAUGCUAUUAUGAGGAUUACCCCUUGAGGUUCAUAGCAGUAGGUCGUCCUACAGUUAAUCACAUGCUUUUGCUAG
rnacentral:ncRNA from 12 species